rnacentral:lncRNA from 1 species
AAAAACCCACAAAAAAAAAAAAAAGAAAAAAGUUAACCUGCCCCUUCGUGUGCUCCCUUUUCUGCUCCUUUCUCCCCACUACUGACCCAUUUGUGAGGUGUACCAGGGGGUUGGCUCUCUUCUUUGGAGCUGGGGCUUUGAUGUUCCCCAGACUUGGUCUCUGGUGUGUCACACACCCCAUUCGUAGUCCACUGAGAAUACAGGGAAACGUGUCCUCCAGCCUUCUAGUGGUGUCUUCUGCCCCUCUUCCUUCUCUUGUCUUUUACUCCCAUCCCUCCUCUGGGCUCUGAAGAAAAAUUGCUGACUGUAGCUUUGGAAGUGUAGCUCUGAGAACAAUAGACAAUUUGAGUUCUAGGAAAAUAAAG